rnacentral:rRNA from 1 species
AGCGAACAUUGGCGGUAGGCUUAACACAUGCAAGUCGAGCGAGGCUAAGAGCCGAGCGGCGAACGGGUGAGUAAUACGUUGAGAUCUACCCUGGAGUGGGGAAUAACCAGCAGAAAUGCUGGCUAAUGCCGCAUAAUCCAUAUUGGGAAAGCGCUUAGCGCUCUAGGAUGAGUCAACGGCCGAUUAGCUAGUUGGUGGGGUAAAGGCCCACCAAGGCGACGAUCAGUAGCUGGUCUGAGAGGAUGAUCAGCCACACUGGGACUGAGACACGGCCCAGAAUGCUACGGGAGGCAGCAGUGAGGAAUAUUGGACAAUGGGCGCAAGCCUGAUCCAGCCAUGCCGCGUGAGUGACGAAGGCCUUCGGGUUGUAAAGCUCUUUCAGAUGCGAAGAUAAUGACGGUAACAUCAGAAGAAGCCCCGGCUAAAUUCGUGCCAGCCGCCGCGGUAA